rnacentral:rRNA from 1 species
UACGAAGGGGGCAAGCGUUGUUCGGAAUUACUGGGCGUAAAGGGCGCGCAGGCGGCCGUUCGAGUCAGGCGUGAAAGCCCCGGGCUUAACCUGGGAAUUGCGCUUGGGACUGGAUGGCUUGAGUUCGGGAGAGGAGAGUGGAAUUCCCAGUGUAGAGGUGAAAUUCGUAGAUAUUGGGAAGAACACCGGUGGCGAAGGCGGCUCUCUGGACCGUGACUGACGCUGAGGCGCGAAAGCGUGGGGAGCAAACAGG